AGCGCCACACAGGUGGGCCGACGGUCGACUCCGGUGGCGACAGGAGUUGUGUUCACUCCGGAAAGCGACCU
rfam:Rhodococcus jostii RHA1, complete genome.